rnacentral:lncRNA from 1 species
AUGAAAAUCUUACAGAGUUCACAAAGCCAACUGGUUGAGAUGGCUGAGAUGUUAUGGCUCAUGUGCUGCAAUCUCAUUCUCUUUUCACUUGAAAGACGUAAUCAGACAAAAAUCCCUUCAAAACCAGUUUCACUGAAGAAAAAACCUAGGCAGGAGAAGCAAAUGUAUGAGAUUGCAGUAGUGACCGCUACACUAUUCCCCGUGUAUAUGAAACUCCAGAGAUAACUGUUUUCAUCUGGCAAAAUUAAGACUGUGAAAUCAUCUUGGAAUACAGAGCGUUGCUUUGGUUGAUGCUGUACUGGUUAUUGGGUGUGCACAGAGCAGAUGCCAUCUCAGGCAAAAUUAAAUAAGCAUUCAGAAGCCGACGAGGAAGGGAGCUUCCCCACUGCCUGACCAAGCUGCAGCGUGUGGAACUGCAGGAAGCUUUGGUGCUGAGCGUGAGGAUUUGAGUAAGAGCGCUAAGGGGGCUUCCUGUGCUCCAGGAAACAGAACUUCGUCCUAUCUUGUAAAGGAACAAUGUUUCAUGAAAGUAUUUGCACGGUGGGUAUAGGAGAGGGAAGACUGAAGCCCCCCUGG